GGGCCGGCCGUGGGCGUGAGGCUGUACUUCCUCCGCCCCCUCCUAAUGGAGCGAACCAUUCCCAGCUAUUCCUCCUCGCCCGCUCCCUGUUUCUCCCUCUUUCUCUCCCUCACCUCCGUCUCCCCCCUUGUGUGCAAAGUCCUCCGCUGCUCGGAACUUGUUGGCAAUGCCUAUUUUUCAGCUUUCCCCCACGUUCUCCAAAGUAACUAUUUAAAGAUCUGCAGUCGCAAAUGGUUUUACUAAAUGUAGGAUGGGACUUAAGUUGAACGGCAGAUACAUUUCUCUGAUCCUCGCUGUACAGAUAGCCCACCUGGUGCAGGCGGUGAGAGCGGCGGGGCGGUGCGAUGCGGUCUUUCGGGGCUUCUCGGACUGUUUGCUGCGGCUGGGCGAUAAUAUGGCCAACUACCCGCAGGACCUGGACGACAAGAGAAACCUGCAAACGAUCUGCGCGUACUGGGACGAUUUCCACGCUUGCACCCUCACAGCGCUCACGGAUUGCCAGGAAGGAGCGACAGACCUGUGGGAGAAACUGAGACGGGAAUCCAAAAACCUCGAUUUCCAGGGCAGUUUGUUCGAACUGUGCGGAGGCGGCAGCGGAGCAGCCCCGUCCCAGCUGCCGCCGUCGCUGCCCGUGCUGCUGGGGGCAUUGGGAGCAGCUCUGGCCACCUGGGGGCUGCCCUUCUAGCGGGGCCAACGCUGCACCCGGAGAGGAGCAUCCGUCCGCGGCUUUGGGGACGUCGUGCUCGGCCGUGGUUGGUGACGGUGGCUGAUGGUGGCGGAACACCCGUGCAGCGGCGUGCAGCCCGAACCGGACCUCAGCUUUACUAUCGCUUCAGAUCAAACAUAGGAGAAAACAAUAUCUAGAGAGAUCGAGGAGCUCGAGCCCCCCCCGGCGUGCACCAGAAAUCUCAGGAACGACUCCGGGCCUCCACCCCGACCCAGAGGUGGGGCCGAGGGGAUGUCCACGCACGCAGCAUCUGGUGAAUAACUCACGGCUUCAUCUGUCCUCCACGGUCGCUUGUUUUAUGGUCAUUCCACUGCAGAAAAAUAAUAAUGAUAACAAGAAGAAAUAAUAAAUAAAAACAACAACAACAAUAAAAAGGGAAUAAUAAUGAAAGUAAUGAUAAUAAAUUAAAAAGAGAGUGUUUUCUUAAGGGGAAACGUUAAAGGAGAAAGGAAGGAAGGAAGGGAAAAGGACGGAGAUGCGUCUCCGCGCCCGCAGGAGUGAAGGAGAGCUGCGGGCAGAGCGCGGUUCCCUUCCGUUGUCUCCGUACGGAGACAUCGGUCAGCACUCACCGACUUUAAUUUCGUCCCCCUCUUUGUUUUAGGUGUCACACGUCCAGCAAACCCCCGAGUAGCCGGCAGCAGGGGUCACUAACGGGAGGGGGGGGUGGGACUCAAAUGGGAACCUAAAGGAAAAAAAAAAAAAGAAAAAAAAUCGACAGCAAAAUGAUUUUGGAAAUAAAUAAGUACGUAAAUGAAUAAACGGGGCCUCGGUUUUAAAAAA